rnacentral:rRNA from 1 species
AUUGAACGCUGGCGGCAUGCCUUACACAUGCAAGUCGAACGGCAGCACGGGAGCAAUCCUGGUGGCGAGUGGCGAACGGGUGAGUAAAGUAUCGGAACGUGCCCAGUCGUGGGGGAUAACGUAGCGAAAGUUACGCUAAUACCGCAUACGAUCUAUGGAUGAAAGCGGGGGAUCGCAAGACCUCGCGCGAUUGGAGCGGCCGAUAUCAGAUUAGGUAGUUGGUGGGGUAAAGGCUCACCAAGCCGACGAUCUGUAGCUGGUCUGAGAGGACGACCAGCCACACUGGGACUGAGACACGACCCAGACUCCUACGGGAGGCAGCAGCGGGGAAUUUUGGACAAUGGGCGAAAGCCUGAUCCAGCCAUGCCGCGUGCAGGAUGAAGGCCUUCGGGUUGUAAACUGCUUUUGUACGGAACGAAAAGGUUUGGCCUAAUAAGCUGAGCUCAUGACGGUACCGUAGGAAUAAGCACCGGCUAACUACGUGCCAGCCGCCGCCGUAA